rnacentral:snRNA from 1 species
AUCGCUUCCUGGCUCUUUGAGCUGUGGUCCAAGUGUAGUGUCUGUUCUUAUCAGUUUAAUAUCUGAUAUGUUCUUUAUUUGAGAACUGUAUGUUAAAUUGAUUUUUGAAACAGGGGGCUGGAAUAGGAGCUUGCUCUGCCCACCCCAUGCAUUGACCUGGUAUUGCAGUGUCUCCAGGACUGGUGCAUCUCCC